GACACUAUAGAUCAACGGUUAGAUCGUCCGCCAUUGAAUAAAUGUUCAGGGGCGGGAGGCCGGGGAUCGAACCCCCGUAGUGGUU